rnacentral:rRNA from 1 species
UAGGGAUUUUCCACAAUGGCGAAAGCCUGAUGGAGCAACGCCGGGUGGGGAUGAAGGCUUUCGGGUCGUAAAGCACUGUUGUAUGGGAAGAAAAGUUAAGGUAGGGAAUGACCUUAGCCUGACGGUACCAUACCAGAAAGGGACGGCUAAAUACGUGCCAGCAGCCGCGGUAAUACGUAUGUCCCGAGCGUUAUCCGGAUUUAUUGGGCGUAAAGCGAGCGCAGACGGUUGGUUAAGUCUGAUGUGAAAGCCCGGAGCUCAACUCCGGAAAGGCAUUGGAAACUGGUUAACUUGAGUGCAGUAGAGGUAAGUGGAACUCCAUGUGUAGCGGUGGAAUGCGUAGAUAUAUGGAAGAACACCAGCGGCGAAGGCGGCUUACUGGACUGUAACUGACGUUGAGGCUCGAAAGUGUGGGUAGCAAACAGGAUUAGAUACCCUGGUAGUCCACACCGUAAACGAUGAACACUAGGUGUUAGGAGGUUUCCGCCUCUUAGUGCCGAAGCUAACGCAUUAAGUGUUCCGCCUGGGGAGUACGACCGCAAGGUUGAAACUCAAAGGAAUUGACGGGGACCCGCACAAGCGGUGGAGCAUGUGGUUUAAUUCGAAGCAACGCGAAGAACCUUACCAGGUCUUGACAUCCUUUGAAGCUUUUAGAAAUAGAAGUGUUCUCUUCGGAGACAAAGUGACAGGUGGUGCAUGGUCGUCGUCAGCUCGUGUCGUGAGAUGUUGGGUUAAGUCCCGCAACGAGCGCAACCCUUAUUGUUAGUUGCCAGCAUUCAGAUGGGCACUCUAGCGAGACUGCCGGUGACAAACCGGAGGAAGGCGGGGACGACGUCAGAUCAUCAUGCCCCUUAUGACCUGGGCUACACACGUGCUACAAUGGCGUAUACAACGAGUUGCCAACCUGCGAAGGUGAGCUAAUCUCUUAAAGUACGUCUCAGUUCGGACUGCAGUCUGCAACUCGACUGCACGAAGUCGGAAUCGCUAGUAAUCGCGGAUCAGCACGCCGCGGUGAAUACGUUCCCGGGUCUUGUACACACCGCCCGUCACACCAUGGAAGUUUGUAAUGCCCAAAGCCGGUGGCCUAACCGUAAGGAGGGAACC